GACACACAUACACUGACAGAAAUACUGACACCCACACACUGACAGAUAUACUGACAUCCACAUACACUGAGAAAUACUGACACACACACACAGGCACAUACACUGACACACACAGACUGAUAUACUGACACACACACACACAGACAUACUGGCACACAGACAGAUAUAUUGACACAUGCAUACACAUGCACUAACAGACAUACUGAUGCACUGACAGACAUACAGACACAUACACAUACUGACACACACAUAUAUACUGACACACAGACAGACAGACAUACUGACACACACACAGACAU
rnacentral:lncRNA from 1 species